rnacentral:rRNA from 1 species
CACGUAGGGCGCGAGCGUUGCCCGGAAUUAUUGGGCGUAAAGAGCUCGUAGGCGGUCUGUUGCGUCCGCUGUGAAAACUCGGGGCUUAACCCCGAGCCUGCAGUGGAUACGGGCAGGCUAGAGUUCGGCAGGGGAGACUGGAAUUCCUGGUGUAGCGGUGAAAUGCGUAGAUAUCAAGUGGAACACCAGUGGCGAAGGCGAGUCUCUGGACAUUUCCUGACGCUGAGGCACGAAAGCCAGGGGAGCAAACGGG